GCCUCCAUGGUAUAGUGGCUAAAACGUGACUCUUGUAAAGUCGAGUCGGGAGUUCGAUUCUCUCUGGAGGUA
rnacentral:tRNA from 1 species